rnacentral:rRNA from 1 species
CAGUAGCCACGGGAAUACAGAGGGUGCAAGCGUUAAUCGGAAUUACUGGGCGUAAAGCGCGCGUAGGUGGUUUGUUAAGUUGAAUGUGAAAUCCCCGGGCUCAACCUGGGAACUGCAUCCAAAACUGGCAAGCUAGAGUAGGGCAGAGGGUGGUGGAAUUUCCUGUGUAGCGGUGAAAUGCGUAGAUAUAGGAAGGAACACCAGUGGCGAAGGCGACCACCUGGGCUCAUACUGACACUGAGGUGCGAAAGCGUGGGGAGCAAACAGGAUUAGAUACCCGCGUAGUCCCUGUCUCUUAUAC